rnacentral:rRNA from 1 species
UACGUAGGGGGCUAGCGUUGUCCGGAAUCAUUGGGCGUAAAGAGCGUGUAGGCGGCCCGGUAAGUCCGCUGUAAAAGUCAAAGGCUCAACCUUUGAAUGUCAGUGGAUACUGCCGGGCUAGAGUCCGGAAGAGGCGAGUGGAAUUCCCGGUGUAGCGGUGAAAUGCGCAGAUAUCGGGAGGAACACCAAUGGCGAAGGCAGCUCGCUGGGACGGUACUGACGCUGAGACGCGAAAGCGUGGGGAGCAAACAGG